rnacentral:lncRNA from 1 species
GCUGCGCACUUCGGUCUUUUACGUCGGCCUUCGCGAGCGUCUGGGCGGGUGGAACAAUGGCGCUGUCUUCAGUGGCACAGUGGAGCAGCUCUGAAGAUGCAAAGUGAGGGUCGCUGUCUGCCCAUUGAUAGAGGCCAGAUUGUCUUGGAAGUUCCAAAGUUGCAACGAUUUCUGGCUAGUGCCACGAGGUUUACUUGACUGUUGUGUGAAAAGCUGAUAAGAAAACCAUCCAGAAAAAAGCUCUUCGUUUUACAAACAUGAAAAUAAAACAUGUAAUUU